AUUCCAGCUCCAAUAGCGUAUAUUAAAGUUGUUGCGGUUAAAAAGCUCGUAGUUGGAUUUCUGCUGAGGACGACUGGUCCGCCCCCUGGGUGAGCAUCUGGUUCGGCCUGGGCAUCUUCUUGGGGAACGUAUCUGCACUUGAUUGUGUGGUGCGGUAUCCAGGACUUUUACUUUGAGGAAAUUAGAGUGUUUCAAGCAGGCCCGCGCCUUGAAUACAUUAGCAUGGAAUAAUAAGAUAGGACCUUGGUCUAUUUUGUUGGUUUGCAUUCCAAGGUAAUGAUUAAUAGGGAUAGUUGGGGGUAUUCGUAUUCAAUUGUCAGAGGUGAAAUUCUUGGAUUUAUGGAAGACGAACUACUGCGAAAGCAUUUACCAAGGAUGCUUUCAUCA
rnacentral:rRNA from 1 species